GAGUUUGAUCCUGGCUCAGAGCGAACGCUGGCGGCGUACUUAACACAUGCAAGUCGAACGGGGAUCAUCGGUGUAGCAAUACAUCGGCGGUCCUAGUGGCGCACGGGUGAGUAACACGUGGGUAACCUGUCCUCGAGCUCGGGAUACCCUCUCGAAAGGGAGGCUAAUACCGGAUACGUUCCUCGGAUUGCGAAGUCUGGGGAGGAAAGGUGGCGAAAGCUACCGCUCAUGGAGGGGCUCGCGGCCUAUCAGCUAGUUGGUGGGGUAAUGGCUCACCAAGGCUAUGACGGGUAGCUGGUCUGAGAGGACGACCAGCCACACGGGAACUGAGACACGGUCCCGACUCCUACGGGAGGCAGCAGUGGGGAAUUUUCCGCAAUGGGCGAAAGCCUGACGGAGUGACGCCGCGUGGGGGACGAAGGCCUUCGGGUUGUAAACCCCUGUCAGAGGGAAAGAAGGGUCAUGUGGCUAAUAUCCACGUGAUCUGACGGUACCUUCAGAGGAAGCCCCGGCCAACUCUGUGCCAGCAGCCGCGGUAAGACAGAGGGGGCAAGCGUUGCUCGGAAUCACUGGGCGUAAAGGGCGCGUAGGCGGGAUGGCAAGUCAGUCGUGAAAUCUCUCGGCUCAACCGAGAAACGUCGGCUGAUACUGCCGUUCUUGAGGGAUGCAGAGGAGACUGGAAUUCCCGGUGUAGCGGUGAAAUGUGUAGAGAUCGGGAGGAACACCGGUGGCGAAGGCGGGUCUCUGGGCAUUUCCUGACGCUGAGGCGCGAAAGCGUGGGGAGCAAACGGGAUUAGAUACCCCGGUAGUCCACGCUGUAAACGAUGACGACUAGGUGUGGGGUGGUUUAGUCCAUUCCGUGCCGCAGCUAACGCAUUAAGUCGUCCGCCUGGGGAGUACGGCCGCAAGGUUGAAACUCAAAGGAAUUGACGGGGGCCCGCACAAGCGGUGGAGCAUGUGGUUCAAUUCGACGCAACGCGAAGAACCUUACCUGGGCUCGAAGCACAGUGGACCGGGGUAGAAAUAUCCCUUUUCGCAAGAACUGCUGUGGAGGUGCUGCAUGGCUGUCGUCAGCUCGUGUCGUGAGAUGUUGGGUUAAGUCCCGCAACGAGCGCAACCCUUAUCGUUAGUUGCCAGCGGGUCAAGCCGGGCACUCUAGCGAAACCGCCCCGGAUAACGGGGAGGAAGGUGGGGAUGACGUCAAGUCCUCAUGGCCUUUAUGUCCAGGGCUACACACGUGCUACAAUGGUCGGUACAAACCGUCGCAAACCUGCGAAGGGGAGCUAAUCGGAAAAAGCCGGCCUCAGUUCGGAUUGGAGUCUGCAACUCGACUCCAUGAAGCUGGAAUCGCUAGUAAUCGCGGAUCAGCACGCCGCGGUGAAUACGUUCCCGGGCCUUGUACACAC
rnacentral:rRNA from 1 species